AGUCAAUGUUCUUCGUGAACAUGGCGAACUGCUCAGUAACACGUGGAUAAUCUACCCUUCGGUCUGGAAUAACCCCGGGAAACUGGGGAUAAUACCGGAUAGAUCAUAGAUGCUGGAAUGCCCUAUGUUCUAAAGCUCCGGCGCCUAAGGAUGAGUCCGCGGUCUAUCAGGUUGUAGUGGGUGUAACGUACCUACUAGCCGACGACGGAUACGGGUUGUGAGAGCAAGAGCCCGGAGAUGGAUUCUGAGACACGAAUCCAGGC
rnacentral:rRNA from 1 species